UACGGAGGGUGCAAGCGUUAUCCGGAUUCACUGGGUUAAAGGGUGCGUAGGAGGGCAGGUAAGUCAGUGGUGAAAUCUCCAAGCUUAACUUGGAACUGCCGUUGAUACUAUCUGUCUUGAAUACCGUGGAGGUGAGCGGAAUAUGUCAUGUAGCGGUGAAAUGCUUAGAUAUGACAUAGAACACCAAUUGCGAAAGGCAGCUCGCUACACGAAUAUUGACUCUGAGGCACGAAAGCGUGGGGAUCAAACAGG
rnacentral:rRNA from 1 species